CACGUAGGCACCAAGCGUUGUCCGGAUUUAUUGGGCGUAAAGAGCUCGUAGGCGGUUCAGUAAGUCAGGUGUGAAAUCUUUGGGCUUAACCCAAAGCGUGCACUUGAUACUGCUGGGACUUGAGUUCGGUAGGGGAGUGGGGAAUUCCUAGUGUAGCGGUGAAAUGCGCAGAUAUUAGGAGGAACACCGGUGGCGAAGGCGCCACUCUGGGCCGAAACUGACGCUGAGGAGCGAAAGCGUGGGUAGCAAACAGG
rnacentral:rRNA from 1 species